UACGUAAGGGGCAAGCGUUGUCCGGAUUUAUUGGGCGUAAAGAGCGUGUAGGCGGCUGGGUAGGUCUGCUGUGAAAACUCGAGGCUCAACCUCGAGACGUCGGCGGAAACCCUCCAGCUAGAGUCCGGAAGAGGAGAGUGGAAUUCCUGGUGUAGCGGUGAAAUGCGCAGAUAUCAGGAAGAACACCCGUGGCGAAAGCGGCUCUCUGGGACGGUACUGACGCUGAGACGCGAAAGCGUGGGGAGCAAACAGG
rnacentral:rRNA from 1 species